ensembl:rRNA 5S_rRNA 5S ribosomal RNA
GCCAGCAGCCAGUUCACCCUGCAACUCACAACUGGCAACCCACUGAAACUAAGCAGGUGUGAGCCUGGUCAGUACCUGGAUGGGAGACCUCCUGGGAAAAACUAAGGUUGCUGCUGGAA